rnacentral:rRNA from 1 species
GAUGAACGCUGGCGGCGUGCCUAAUACAUGCAAGUCGAGCGAAUGGAUUAAGAGCUUGCUCUUAUGAAGUUAGCGGCGGACGGGUGAGUAACACGUGGGUAACCUGCCCAUAAGACUGGGAUAACUCCGGGAAACAGGGGCUAAUACCGGAUAACAUUUUGAACCGCAUGGUUCGAAAUUGAAAGGCGGCUUCGGCUGUCACUUAUGGAUGGACCCGCGUCGCAUUAGCUAGUUGGUGAGGUAACGGCUCACUAAGGCAACGAUGCGUAGCCUAUCUUGGAGGGUGAACGGCCACACUGGGACUGAGACACGGCCCAGACUCCUACGGGAUGCAGCAGUAGGGAAUCGUCCGCAAUGGACGAAAGUCUGACGGAGCAACGCCGCGUGAGUGAUGAAGGCUUUCGGGUCGUAAAACUCUGUUGUUAGGGAAGAACAAGUGCUAGUUGAAUAAGCUGACACCUUGACAGUACCUAACCAGAAAUCCACGGCUAACUACGUGCCAGCAGCCGCGGUAA